GCCCGGGCGAGAGCGCGUGAGGGCGUGGAGCUGGGAGUGAGGACCUGUUCACCUGCUCCCCCGCGCCACCGGAGAACACUCUGGCGUCCGCUUAGUUGAGCCCCGAAGCGCUGACCAGUUUCUGGCCCCCAGCCCUGGCCAGUUUCACGUCCGUUCACGGUCUGAGCUCUCAGAUUCCCCUCUGAGGUCCGCGGGUCUGUUCUCCCGCCUGCACUGUCCCGGGUCACCGCCCCCCUGCCCCGGGCACCCUGCCCCCCAGCUCGUGCCGGCCGCGCCCACUUGGCCGCACUGUCGCCUCCGAUCCGGGCUCGGCAGCGGAUCUGGGCAGGCAGACCGGUCGACCCCAAGGAGGACGGGAAGGAGGGGUUCCCCCGCGCGCGCCCCGCCUCUCCACGCCCAGCCCCGCACCUCCCCACCUUGCGCGCCCAGCCGGGUCUAGGCUUUCCUUCCGGGGAAAGAGAAAAGGUCCCGGCUCGGCCGCCUCCUCUUAAAGGGGCAGCACCGCCCCUCCCUCUCCAUCCUCCCUAACCCUGCUCCGCCCUCUCCCCCAAACACCUGUCCGGAGCCCCCGAAGGCUUGGAUUACCCCUCCCCGCCCCUUGUUUCUCCCGAGAAGCGUCGCCUCCCGAGCAAGAUGGAUUGGACGGGCGGGGCCGGGGGUGGGAUUUGUCCCGCUGCUUUGCUGCGGAGGCUACAGCUGCUGGAAAGGCCGUUCCGGACGCGGCCACCUCUGUGGGUCCGGCUGGAGAGGCCCGGCGUUGGCGCAUCUGGGAGCCGACAUCCGCAAGCCACUGGCUGGAAUGCCCUCGCCUCCGCCGCGCUGUGAGCCCCUGCGAGAAGGAUCCUGUUGGGACAAACGUCUUGGCUCAGUGGGUUGAAAAGGAAAGUCAGAAUUCUGAGGCAUGAAUUGCUAUGCCCACUGACUCACUUCCUCCUCCCCGCCUGCUCCGGACGGGCCAGGGCCCUGAGUAACACAGGUUGUAGCCUCCUCCCAGC
rnacentral:lncRNA from 1 species